GGGAGCUGACGGGCCUUUUACAUAGGAAACACCACAAAAAAGUAAUUAGGCACAAGGCUUUUUUCCAGAUCCACGGCAAUAAGAGUGGUAAACUGCUGGCCAGAAUGCUAGUCAAACAAAGACAAAGGACAUACAUUUACAAAAUGAGAGACACACAGGGCACCCUACAUCACUUAUCCUCUAAAAUCCUAGACAUAACGCGGGACUACUACUCAAUCCUGUAUGCCAUCCCCCGAUCCCAACUAGACAAGGCCAAAGAGGAUCUAUGGGAGAGAAUACAAACCUAUCUAACGACCCACCCCCUCCCGUCCAUAGAAGGGGAAAUCGCAGACAGUCUAGACGAACCAAUCUCAACAGAGGAAGUAGCUCAGGCCAUCAAAGUGACAAAACAGGGUAAAAGCCCAGGCCCGGAGGGCUACCACUAAAGUAUUACAAAUCGUUCGUGAAACACUUAUAUCCCCCUCCCCUAGACGCACUGAACGCACUGAGGAAAGGACAUCACCUUCCAAAACAAGCACUAACAGCACACAUCGCACUCAUCCCGAAGGAGGGAAAGGACAGGGAACACUGUGGGAACUAUAGGCCCAUCUCGCUCAUCAACUGCGAUGUCAAACUGUUGGCAAAAAUAUUGGCUACACGCCUCCAAACACACAUUCCCACACUAAUACACCCGGACCAGGUGUCAGGAUUACUGUUUGAUCCAGCACGGAUGACAAAUAAGUAACGUGUUACCGGUCCUUAGAAUGGCCGGAUUUAACGUACAAAGAAUAGUCAAAAAUACUAGCCGAGGUCAGGGAACACAGAAAG